AGAAUCAAUCCAGAGCCUAUGAUACACAUAUUAUACCUCUUCUACAAACAGACACCAUACCAGAUACAAUUUAUUAAAGUUAAGGCUAAUAUAAUUUGUCUAUUCAUCAUCAUCAUCAUGUUCCCACUACAUCUCUGGCGAUUAGGGCAGCGAGGAAGUUCCUCCACUCUUGUCUGUUUUUGGCAAGUCUUUCAGUGGUUCCCCAGCUGUGCCCCAGGUUUUUCAGCUCAGCUUCCACAGCUCUUCGCCAUGUUGUUUUCAGGCGGCCUCAUUUUCACUUGCCUUCAGGUGUCCAUCUUUGUG